rnacentral:rRNA from 1 species
UACGUAGGGACCAAGCGUUGUUCGGAUUUACUGGGCGUAAAGGGCGCGUAGGCGGCAAUUCAAGUCAUCUGUGAAAUCUCCGGGCUUAACUCGGAACGGUCAGAUGAUACUGCUUGCUAGAGUGCGGAAGGGGCAAUCGGAAUUCUUGGUGUAGCGGUGAAAUGCGUAGAUAUCAAGAGGAACACCUGAGGUGAAGACGGGUUGCUGGCCGACACUGACGCUGAGUGCGCGAAAGCCAGGGAGCAAAGCGGG